AUUGAACGCUGGCGGCAUGCCUUACACAUGCAAGUCGAACGGUAACAGGUCUUCGGAUGCUGACGAGUGGCGAACGGGUGCGUAAUACAUCGGAACGUGCCCGAUCGUGGGGGAUAACGAGGCGAAAGCUUUGCUAAUACCGCAUACGAGCUACGGAUGAAAGCGGGGGAUCUUCGGACCUCGCGCGGACGGAGCGGCCGAUGGCAGAUUAGGUAGUUGGUGGGAUAAAAGCUUACCAAGCCGACGAUCUGUAGCUGGUCUGAGAGGAUGAUCAGCCACACUGGGACUGAGACACGGCCCAGACUCCUACGGGAGGCAGCAGUGGGGAAUUUUGGACAAUGGGCGAAAGCCUGAUCCAGCCAUGCCGCGUGCAGGAUGAAGGCCUUCGGGUUGUAAACUGCUUUUGUACGGAACGAAAAGCCUCUUUCUAAUAAAGAGGGGUCAUGACGGUACCGUAAGAAUAAGCACCGGCUAACUACGUG
rnacentral:rRNA from 1 species